rnacentral:pre_miRNA from 1 species
AUGUAGUGUGACAUGCCCGUGUGGGAUAUACUCUAAUGAUUAUUUAAUAUUUAAUUGUUUUUGGGUUACGGGGUGUUACAGGCCUCA